CAGCGAUCACUUGUAUUUUACAUCUUUAAAACGACCUGAUGUCAGAAGAAGAAGAUGCCCUGGAUCUCCUGUUGCAGGAUGACCCAAACGAUCAUGCAUUUAGUAUAAAUACGUACAUGGUAUUGACAUCCCAAUAUUUAGUGGGAAGUUCCCAGGUAUCAUCCACUAGCGACAGUCUACUGGCAAAUCCAGACAUGCAUUGGAAGGAUGCUGAUGUGGAGGACACAGGGACACCUGAUCCAAGAACUGUGGCAUUUCAUUCGGGGUGACAACCUGGCUUUCAGUUGAUAUGGGACCCUAUUACGGUAUUCGGAGAACUGCAGAUUUUAUGAAGCUGUCUUUGACAGAAGAUUUGGUUUUCUCCAUUUGUGUUGCCACCAACCAUUAUGCUGA